rnacentral:tRNA from 1 species
CGGGGAGUAGCGCAGUUUGGUAGCGCACCUGCCUUGGGAGCAGGUGGUCGCAGGUUCAAAUCCUGUCUCCCCGACCA